rnacentral:rRNA from 1 species
UGCGCCAGCUCUUAUGAGUUAGCGGCGGACGGGUGAGUAACACGUGGGUAACCUGCCCAUAAGACUGGGAUAACUCCGGGAAACCGGGGCUAAUACCGGAUAACAUUUUGAACCGCUUGGUUCGAAAUUGAGAGGCGGCUUCGGCUGUCACUUAUGGAUGGACCCGCGUCGCAUUAGCUAGUUGGUGAGGUAACGGCUCACCAAGGCAACGAUGCGUAGCCGACCUGAGAGGGUGAUCGGCCACACUGGGACUGAGACACGGCCCAGACUCCUACGGGAGGCAGCAGUAGGGAAUCUUCCGCAAUGGACGAAAGUCUGACGGAGCAACGCCGCGUGAGUGAUGAAGGCUUUCGGGUCGUAAAACUCUGUUGUUAGGGAAGAACAAGUGCUACUUGAAUAAGCUGGCACCUUGACGGUACCUAACCAGAAAGCCACGGCUAACUACGUGCCACCAUCCGCGGUAAUACUUAGGUGGCAAGCGUUAUCCGGAAUUAUUGGGCGUAAAGCGCGCGCAGGUGGUUUCUUAAGUCUGAUGUGAAAGCCCACGGCUCAACCGUGGAGGGUCAUUGGAAACUGGGAGACUUGAGUGCAUAAGAGGAAAGUGGAAUUCCAUGUCAGCGGUGAAAUGGGUAGUGAUAUGGAGCAACACCAGUCGUGAAGAUGUCUAUGCAGUCUGUAACUGCCCAUGAGGCUCGAAAGCGCUGGGAGCCAACAGGAUCUGACACCUUGCUAGUACCCUCCGUGAAUGAGGAGUGGUAAGUCUCAUAGGGUUUCCGCCACCUAGUGCGGAAGUUAACGCAUCAAGCAUUCCGCAUGGGGAGUACCACCGCAAGGCUGAAACUCAAAGGAACAGGCGGGGGCCCGCACAAGCGGUGGAGCAUGUGGUCAAAUUGCCAGCAACUUGAAGAACCUUACCAGGUCUUGACAUCCAGGACAACCCUCCCGAAGCCUUCAUCUUCGGGAGCAGAGUGACAGUCAGGCAUCGUCCAGUCAGGAAGAUUCCGUGAGAUGUGCCUCCAAGUCCCGCAACGAGCGCAAUCCUUGAUCAGUGUGGCCAUCAUUAAGUCAGCACUGUAAGGCGACGGCCGGUGACAAACCGGAGGAAGGUGGGGAUGACGUCAAAUCCUCAGGCCCCUUCUGACGUGGCAUACACACCCGCUACAAAGGUCGGAACAAAGAGGUGCAAAACCGCGAGGUGGAGCUAAUCUCAUAAACCCGUUUUCAGUCCGGAUUGUAGGCUGCAACUCCCCUACAUGAAGCGGAAUCGCUAGUAAUCGCGAA